rnacentral:lncRNA from 1 species
UCCACAGCACUUUGGUAAUUCUGGAUGGUAAAUUGAGGUGCCUUUUGAAAUUCCUCAUUGCAAUUUAAGCUUUGGCUUACUCAAAUGCAUCUGCUUUUCGAUGUCUAAAUCUGUAUUACUUUUUUGUCUCUGUUCUCUCCUUCUUUGUGGAUUGACCCUUUAAAACAAUUUCCCUUGCUGUGGAGACUUGGAAAAGAGGAAAAAAAGAGAGAAAAUAUUCAACUCUGGAAAAUGUGAUGAAAAAUGUACUUGUCCAUUCAAAAUCUGGUUGCUGUGUUGAAAACUGGCUGAAAAGAGGGACAACUGGAUGCAAUUUCCUCAGAAAGAACAAGGAAAUGGGAACCUGAGUUCAGGUAGUUGGAUUAUUCUUGGAGACUAGGAACAGCUCAUGUACUUGAUAAAAUAAUGUCUCGAUAUGGAAGGAUUUAGUUUUUUCUCU